rnacentral:rRNA from 1 species
AACGAACGCUGGCGGCAGGCCUAACACAUGCAAGUCGAACGCCCCGCUAGGGGCGUGGCAGACGGGUGAGUAACACGUGGGAACCUUCCCUAUAGUACGGAAUAGCCCAGGGAAACUUGGAGUAAUACCGUAUACGCCCGAAAGGGGAAAGAAUUUCGCUAUAGGAUGGGCCCGCGUAGGAUUAGCUAGUUGGUGAGGUAAUGGCUCACCAAGGCGACGAUCCUUAGCUGGUUUGAGAGAACGACCAGCCACACUGGGACUGAGACACGGCCCAGACUCCUACGGGAGGCAGCAGUGGGGAAUAUUGGACAAUGGGCGAAAGCCUGAUCCAGCCAUGCCGCGUGAGUGAUGAAGGCCUUAGGGUUGUAAAGCUCUUUUGGCGGGGAUGAUAAUGACGGUACCCGCAGAAUAAGUCCCGGCUAACUUCGUG